UCCAGUCAGUUUUCUUCAGUGUGCACAAUUUAUUUACAGGCUGUUUGCCAGGAAUACAAGCCUCUCAUCCUGCUCUGGAUUAAUGGCGGUGCCCUUUUUCGCUUGUUUACAUUGAAUACAAGGAGGGGUGUACUUACAAAGCAUUUUCAAAACUGAUUCGCUGGUAGGACCAGCAAAUCAAAUGCUACUUAAUAUGAACUGGAAAAGAAGAGCAUACCCACUGCUUGUCUGGCAGAAAUACUGUAACUAGCAAGGCAGGAAGUUCUGUGCAGUUUCGUUGAUAAACUUAAAUAAUGUUAUCGACUAUGCCCAUUGCAAAAAUGUAAUUAUUGAAUUGAUUGUCCAGUAUUUAUAUCAAUGUAUAUAAUAAGGAAUGGAAUCAAUCAAAAAAUUGAUUUUUAAUUUAAUCGUAACAGCCCUAUAAGGCAUUAAAAAGAGUUAUACUCACAGUGUUCUUGUUCAAGUCAUUCCUCCUGAGCACUUGGGGCGACACUAUACUGGUGUCUCAGAGAAUGGGAUGAAUCCGGGUGAGAUUCUACCCAGCCCACAGCUUAGGGAAGAUAAUUCGCUGAUGUUCAAGCGCCUCCAGCGGAAGUGAGACCGCGGGCAUCCCAGGCAGAGUAGCCCAAGAAGGCAAGGCAGAGAGAGGUCCAGCAGCCGGUUGCCAUCCUGCUGCAGCCCCUGAAAAUCCCUGACUAUGAUGGUGAGUGCGCCUGGGAGUUUUUUAAAAUUUAGCUGAGUUGACCAACAAAAAGAUUAGCAGGUUAGCAGGGAAAAUUCUAGAGGUUCUGGCGAGACUGACUCCAGCACAGCGUAGAGAUUAUCAACAGCUGGAAGAAGCCUCAGCAUUCUGGUAUGGCAAAGAGCAAAAUAAGGAAAUAACAAAACUGUAGCGCAAGGGUAAAACACAGGCUGAAGACGAGUCAGUUAUUAGCUAGCAGACCAGAGAGCCAGAGAGAGCACAGGACAAGAUAGCUAAGGGUACAUUUAAAGAAGCACUCAGUGAAACCCAGCUUAGGAUGCAGGUUAAAUUGAGCAAUCCCCAUUAAUUAAUGGAGUGGGUCCUGGAUGGGCUGCCAUUCCUGCCUCGUGUACUUGGACGAUAUCCUGGUGUAUGAACCUACAUUUGAAGUGGUGCUGGAAUCGCUGUGCAAGCUUCAUCCGUAGAAGUACCAGCUCUUCCAGCGCAAGACACCAUUCUUAGGCCAUGUGGUGAGCAGUGAUGGGUGAAGGUUUGGCCUGUUCCUGUAAAUGUCCAUCAGCUCUGCAACUUCCUCUACCUAGCAUCAUAUUACCACAGGUUUGUCCAGGGUUUGCUGAACAGAUGCAGCCCCUACACCAUCUUAGAGAAGAAGACAGUAUUCCACUGGAGUGAAGAAUGUCAGCAGGGCUUGCUAGCACUGAAGCACAUCUUGAUCACUGCUCCAGUCCUAGCUUACUCCAACCCUGCCCUUCUGUUUGUUUUGGACAUGGAUGCCAGUGACAGUGGAAUAGGCACUGUCCUGUUGCAGGUGAUAGAAAAGGCGUGUGGUGGCCUAUUACAGUCUGAACUUUAGCUCGGCUGGGUGCAACUAAUGUGCUACCCCUGAUGAGAGCUGCUAGCCCGCUGACAAUCACAUUGCAUAAUCACUUCACGUGCAGAGUAAAGUGUGUAUUUGUAUGUGGGCACAGGGAUUGCACAAAUUAGUUCACGUGCAGGCUGCCAGGAUUCAAGUGAAUGAUUAAUUAGCCAGUGAGCCCCGUCACAGCUAUAGAUAAAAGGAGCGCAAAUCACUCACUCAGGGUUAGUGUUCAGAGUGGAGAACAGGAGAGAGAAGGAGGUAAAGAGAGAAACUAAAAUAAUUGCAAUCGCUACUCGUGCUGACAUAGCUCAGCAUGAUACUUGUUUGUUUAGUGUUUGCCGUGUUUUGUUUUUCUGUUUCUUUUGGCCAUCGUGCCGUUUAUUUGGCAGAGUUUUGCUUGUAAAUAUAUUAAAUUAAUAAAACACCAUCGAGUUUCCUGGUGUGAUGUCUCCACUGGCCAUCCUGGUCACAUAUGCUGUUAAGAAGUGGGAAACAGCGCCUCCAUGUUCACUACUGCGGGAACCUUGCUGAGGGAAGUGAGAGGAAGGAGGGAGAGAACGGACUACCUGUUGGGACAAGGAAGCGACUGACAGAGAUCUGCAGAGUUCCUAACACUGAGCAGCGCGGCAACAUUCAACUUUGCGGCACAGAGCAAAAUACACGAUACUGUACUUCACAAUAUCAUAUUCUAUCCAUCCAGGACCAAGAGAACCCUGAUAUAGUGCAUAGACAACAAAAGAUUGACUUGUGUAGCCUACAGUUCCUACUGUACUUUCUUCAUCUGCACAACUAAAAUAUACAUAAACUUUUCUUGUGAUAUUCUUCAAUUAAAGCACUGAAAUCACAGGGAAGCUUAGGGUACAGACAAGUACAAACAUGUUGUCAACUGCAGAAUUAUCGUGCAAAUGUAACAUGGUAAGCUUCCAUAUAUAGAAGGGGGCUUGUUUUAUUCAUGCUUUCUGUUUUUGUGGAACUUUUCUUUUAGAUCUAUGUUUUGUUUGCUUACUUCUGGAAGGACAUUUUAUGACCCCUUUCACACUUGCGGUUGGUGCAUGGGAAUAUUUAGGCAGGGGGACUGCACAGUCACUUCAUGUGCAGAUAAAAGUAUAUUAAUAUUUGGGCACAGGAAAUGCACAAAUUAGUUCAUAUGCUGGGGUUCAAAAGAAUAAUUAAUUA